rnacentral:sRNA from 1 species
CUUUAGCCCCGAUUGCAGUGGAAAUCCUUUUUUGCCGGUGUUCGGCACAAAAGAUUGUAACGGAAAGCGGGACGAUGU